rnacentral:rRNA from 1 species
AAUUGGAGGGCAAGUCUGGUGCCAGCAGCCGCGGUAAUUCCAGCUCCAAUAGCGUAUAUUAAAGUUGUUGCAGUUAAAAAGCUCGUAGUUGAAUUUCGGGAUCAAUAUUUCGGUCAUGCCGUUGGUAUGCACUGUUAUCAUUGAUUUCUCACCUUCUAAAGAACCGUAAUGCCAUUAAUUUGGUGUUACGGGGAAUUAGGACUGUUACCUUGAAAAAAUUAGAGUGUUUAAAGCAGGCUCACGCUUGAAUACAUUAGCAUGGAAUAAUGAAAUAGGACAUCCGAUUCUAUUUUGUUGGUUUCUAGGAUCGAUGUAAUGAUUAAUAGGGAUAGUUGGGGGCAUUAGUAUUCAAUUGUCGGAGGUGAAAUUCUUGGAUUUAUUGAAGACUAACUACUGCGAAAGCAUUUGCCAAGGAUGUUUUCAUUAAUCAAGAACGAAAGUUAGGGGAUCGAAGACGAUCAGAUACCGUCGUAGUCUUAACCAUAAACUAUGCCGACUAGGGAUCGGAUGAUGUUAAUUUUUUAAUGACUCAUUCGGCGCCUUACGGGAAACCAAAGUGU